AUGAUCCACACAUCAAGACAUGACAUACAUACUAAAACAUGUGCCCACAUGCAAAACCUAACGAUACCCACUCUUCCAAAUUCACCCAUAAUACCUCAUGCAUUCAGAAAUUUCAGGUUGAAAGUAUAAAGUAGUGGAAGUAGGGCAUACCUGAUUGGGGAGGAUCGAUUGAAAUUGAAUUGCACCCUUGGCUUUGCAGAACAAUCUUAGGGUUUAUAUGAGAGGGAAUUGGUUCUUUGCAGAUGAGUUCCCUUCAGUCUCU
rnacentral:lncRNA from 1 species